ACCUUCAACACGCAGGCCUUCCCAGUCGACACAAGAGGAUUGAACCCGAGGCGUUCACAAGGGCGUUGUACUUUAAACACUCCUCAACCCUCUUGGGAAGCACACUGCUAAACAGUAGAGUUUCGGCUAUUUACCUGCGCUAACCAAACUUUUCAAGUUGUUUUGCUAAAAACAAAAACUUUUAGAAAUUCUAAGGGGAGAGAGUAAGUGUGCAGGGGUUAUUGUGAUAUUAAAAAAAAAAUCGCCUAAAAGCUAUGAUAAAAGAAUUAUCCAUCCCCCAUCCCCACCAACUUCUAUUAGCUACGCAGAGAUAAUUGGAUAACACAGCUGUCACGCCAGAAUCCAGAUGAACUACCUCUGGUUUGCUGGCUUAAUACUUCUGCUUGAUCCUUUUGCCAUUUGCCUCCUAUAAAACAAACUUACACCUGACAUGUACUAGUCACCUAAGCUGGAAAAAAAUUUUAAAAACUAUGGAAAGAAAGAGUGAAAAUAAAAAUAAAUAAAAGAAAUCAGUAAAGAAACGUUUUUCUUAACGUCAGAUCGUGGUUUGGUUGUUUUUUUUUAAGUUCAUCAGCUGUCGAUAGGAUAAAUCACGAGUGGAUAGGCACUUUCUUCUCAGCCACCGAAGGGAGAUAUUAAAAAAAAAAAACGAUAUCGAUGUCUUUCAAAAUCCCGCACAGUCCUGCUGUCUGCUCAAAGACAGUGCCGCCACCGCAGUCUGCCUCCCCCAGUCACCCUGACGGACCCUCUCUGUCACCCAACCCCAUCCCCCUGACACACACACACAUAUGAUGUGAAUCCCGGCAAUGUAGUCGACCACCAGAAUCAUCUACAUCACCUGCCUGGUAAACACUCUCCCACCUCCCUUCCCGUUCACAAGAACCUCCUCCUCCUCCUGUUCUUGCUACACAUUAUUAUCAUCCUCCGCGCACCUCCACACACACCCCGCUACCCACAUCCCGCCAUCAGUGUCCUAUCCCGCUGGUUCCUCGCUACAAACAAAAAACAAGAAAACAAGAAAUCAACCAUGCUGGGGCUAAGUCUGCAGCUAUAACAGGUUUUAAAGUGUGAUUUUUGAGACUCCGGACAUCGAAAACUACCAGCAGAGAGACAGAGAAACAAUAAUAAAACAGCAUCAUUUCACUCCUUGUUUUCCUCCCACAACCACCACCACCCUUACAUAUAACGGCCCAAUCUUCCAUUACUCACACCACCACCACAUUUUUCCACCGUUCCCACCUUUUCCCCCAAACUCUCCAUCCCAGGGUUUUCUAGAGAAAUUCAAAUGUGUGUGUGCAAGUAAAUCACAGUACUGCGCGGGCGACUUGCAACAGAUACGGACAAGGGGAAGAAAGGAAGGGGGAAGAAAGGGGGGAAGAAGGGAGUGGAGUGGGAAUUGGCAUCAAGCCAUUUAAAACCAUGGCUCCAGCAGGCAAGGUGCAACCGCCGUGAAAGCCAACAACCUGUGCGACGGCAGCUCUGCCGGGUGGACCUUACCUAAACGGCUUGUGUGCAGUUGAUUGCGUUAAGAUGAACAUGCCAACAGCCCACCCGUUCGCCCUGCCCACCUCGCUGCAAGGUCCGGUCCUGCUGCUGGCUACACUGCUCUUCCUCCCGGGGUACCCCGCCUCUUCUCUCAAGCCCAUUCACCUGCAGCGCCGUCACAGCUUCUUCCGCUGUACGGGUUGGGGCCCGGAUGCUCUAACCUGGACUACGCCUUCCAGCCCGUCGGCAAAGCGCCACCUACACACCACAGAGUCUCAUCCGCCCUGGGCUUCCGGCAAGAGUCAAGGUCGCGGUCAAGCAGCGCCCUGCGCCCCCUCGACUACGGCCUCAACUUCUUCUUCACUUCAGCAGGCCAUUCCUGGGGAGCCAGUGGUAAACGGGGGGCACCUUCCCAGAGUGAAUGGAGCAGAGACUCAAAACUUCCCCACUCUGGACAUCUUGAGAGAAGCACGCCUGUUUCACCUUUAUCCUACCAACAAAUGACAUCACCAGACUUCCCACAAUCAGCCUGAUGGCAUUCUUACAAAAGCCUCACACCAAGGGAACACAAGAGGUUUCACGCAACAGAUUUGACUGGAUCACCAAGUGUUUCUAUUACCUUAUGACUGUGAUCUACCUUGCGAAAGUUGCAAAUGUAGAUAUAUACUGGUGACAAAAGGGAUUGGCAAGGACCUCACACAGUUAAGGCUUUUCAGCUUUUCAUGUUACAGCAUUAUAACCUGCUGCACUGAUCACCUUACCUGGAUACAUUAAUGAGAAUUUUCCAUUUUCAGACACCCAGUUUACAUCCUAGUUUAUCAUGCCUGGCAAGACACUUGAAGCUGGUUUCAGAUCAAUUUUUGUAAUUUUCUUCUGAUAAGUAAUUUAAGAAAAUUAGCUGUGAGAUGGAGAUGCUAGCUUUGCAACGUUGCUAAGUUUUUAACAGAAUCAUCAAUAAGAAAAUAGUCCACAGAAAAUUAUUUUAAGGUUGUUCUUCUAAUAAAAACUGACUUUCUAUCAAACAGUUUAUAAUGUGCCAUUAUUCUGCUUUGUAUUUGCCUUAUUUGAGUUAUUUUAUGUUCACAAGCAUCUUUGGAAAAGCCCUUUGAGUGGCUUUGAUAAAAGAGAAACCUGUUUUGUGCUCACAUAAUUUGUGAUAUCUUGUUGCUGGUAAUUUAGCAAGGCAAAAUUCACGAAUCCUAACUUUUACCAUGCAAGCAAUUUUCCUGAAUUACUUUAAAUUUGCUUUCACCACUCCCAUAAAUUCUUUAUUUUAAUAUUAAACAUUUUAUUUUUAUCAACACACAAUUUACACUUUUUGUUGUAUAUUAUUCCCGACAAAAGACAGAGAGCCCACUAUUAAGAGGGGAACGAGAACUGCUCUUAAUGGGAGGCUAGGGAAAAAAAACAUAAGACUAAAAAAGCUGUUUUACUGAAAACAAAGAAGGAUAAACAUUAUUUUUAAAAUAAAAACACUUUUACAGGUGAAACAGUAAAAAACUUUCUUUUCAUUAUAUCAGUUCAACACAUAUAUUUUAUCUAGGACAUCCAUAAAAGAUUUCUGGACAUACCAUUUACAAAGAAGUUGCUGCAUGCAGCAGGUACAACAAACAGGGACAGCAAAUACUGCAUGCAUUUUCUUGAUGCUUAAGAAAUUCAUUGAAUGCUUUGACAUAACUGCUUACCUUAGCAAUGGAGGAUAAGAAAAGUUAAAAUUAAACCAUAUAUGCACUGCCAGUGUUGAAUCAAUUGUUAUAGGUAUUUUCAUAUUACAAUGAUGUUUUUGUUUGUAAGCUAAUCUUACACAGGCUCAUGCUAUGUGUGUUUAAGUGCUUUGUAGAGAUUUCACUAGCUCCACUAAUGAAUUUAGCUCAGAUUGCUAGAAAUUAAUCCAAAACUCCUCUUCUCAUAUUAACUGAUUUUGUAGUAAUACUAGAAGAUAGCAUACUGAAAGAGGAGAAGGGGCAGCAUUUUCUACCCCUCAAAAAGAAAAACGUAUAUCAUCUUUUAUCAUAAAACAUCUGAUUUAGUGUAAAUAAGAUGCUUACUCAAUAGAGAUUUAUAAUUUCCUAUCUUUGAUUUUAAAAUUAAAAGUAAUUGUCUGGGUCUUUUAAAGUUUAAAGUUUUUUUUUUGUUUGCUACAUGAGACAGUAUUGUAAUUGACGGUGACCUGGGAAUCAUUGGUUUGUUUGCCUAGGAAGCCAAUAACACCUGAUUCACCACUGGGACAAACUCUUUUCACUUCUUUUUUGCUGCUACCAUGAUGUUGAACUUGGAUUUAGGAUAUGCAAUGUCAAUGGUGAAUAAAAAUGUCAUAUUCCUUCAUCUUACACUGACAGUUUCAGCGGGGUAAGAGUAAAAUUCAAGGAACUCCUUAAAUUCUUUGAGUUCUUUAAUGUUUAUUUUCCACUGCACUAGCUCUAUUGGAUGACUGAAUAUUUCAAAUUUGCAACAAAAUAUUGACAAUCAUAACUCUAAAAUGCAAUGUUCAAAGGAAACCCAGAAAUGACAAGGGUCCAUCUAAGUCCAGUCAUAUAUACACAUUGAAUGUAAUCUGUUUCCAUGCAUUGUAUGGUAGUCCUUGUUAUCUAAGGUUUCCACAUGCAAUAACAAAAAUCUUCAGACUUAAUGGGCCACUAAGGGAAAAAAGUCAUCAGUUGAAAAUGCUAGACUUUAACCAAGCAGUCCAAAAUCUUAGAAUACAUUUUUCUAAAUCUCUCUUCCUCUUAAAAUACAAAAACAAAACAAAAAAAUAAGUGCACACACACACACACACACACAAAUUCAAAAUAGGCACAAAAGGUGACCAGCU